UACGUAGGUGGCAAGCGUUGUCCGGAUUUACUGGGCGUAAAGAGCGCGCAGGCGGUCAGAUAAGUCGAAUGUGAAAGCCCCCGGCUCAACUGGGGAGGGUCAUUCGAUACUGUUCGACUCGAAGGCAGGAGAGGGAAGUGGAAUUCCCGGUGUAGUGGUGAAAUGCGUAGAUAUCGGGAGGAACACCAGUGGCGAAGGCGACUUCCUGGCCUGUUCUUGACGCUGAGGCGCGAAAGCUAGGGGAGCAAACGGG
rnacentral:rRNA from 2 species